UACCGACAAUGGGGUCGACGAUGUAUAGACUACGGCGCUAGGUGGCUCGCGGUGGCUUGAUAUGUCCGCCGUGAAAUUGCCCUCAAUUUGCCGCACCCUGCGCAUGAUUGUUACCGAGGAUCGUCGCAAGGGGGGGUCGCGCACGCACCCACAGCCCGAAUCCGGCACCCGAUCGGCGACGUGGCCGAGCUACCCUGGCGGUGGUGGCUUUGCGCAGCAACGGCAGGGGAAGGCACCACCAUCACACGCACGACUAUGGUGUCACCUACCCUGCCGACUAUGUGAUCCGCAAAGGAGGCAUAGCAGCCGAAUUUGUAGCCCGAGCACACGUCGGCCCGAGCGGGGAUCCCACAACUGAUUCGGUUGCAGUGGCGCUAGAUUCACGGCGAACUGGCGACAGGGUGGAAGCGCUCGUUUAACGGGGCCCGC
rnacentral:lncRNA from 7 species